CCUACGGGUGGCAGCAGUGAGGAAUAUUGGUCAAUGGGCGCGAGCCUGAACCAGCCAAGUAGCGUGAAGGAUGACUGCCCUACGGGUUGUAAACUUCUUUUAUAAAGGAAUAAAGUGAGUCACGUGUGCCUUUUUGCAUGUACUUUAUGAAUAAGGACCGGCUAAGUCCGUGCCAGCAGCCGCGGUAAUACGGAGGAUCCGAGCGUUAUCCGGAUUUAUUGGUUUAAAGGGAGCGUAGGUGGGUUGUUAAGUCGGUUGUGAAAGUGUGCGGCUCAACCGUAGAAUUGCAAGUGAUACUGGCAGUCUUGAGUACAGUUGAGGUAGGCGGAAUUCGUGGUGUAGCGGUGAAAUGCUUAGAUAUCACGAAGAACUCCGAUUGCGAAGGCAGCUUACUAAACUGCCACUGACGCUGAGGCUCGAAAGUGUGGGUAUCAAACAGGAUUAGAUACCCUUGUAGUC
rnacentral:rRNA from 1 species